rnacentral:misc_RNA from 1 species
GACACUCCAUGACGAGGAGGAAUAGGAUACUGUGGGGAGUGCAUAUAAAUUGGGGAUGUAGCAGGAGCACCAAGAUGACUAGGACUAAAUGGAGGCAUCAUGGCUUCUGGAGGACCAUAGCCAAGGGCAGUAGGUGCAGAUGUCGGUGACCAAUGUGCACGCAGUUCCGGAGGAAUGGACCGAAGCUGUUGAUCCAGAGAAAGUGGUGGUGGCCUGUAACCAGAUCUUAGCUGAGGAAAUUCAGUGUUGUAGUUAACAGCAGGUGUAUAUAGUGGCUGCAAG